rnacentral:rRNA from 1 species
AUUGAACGCUGGCGGCAGGCCUAACACAUGCAAGUCGAACGAGUGGCGGACGGGUGAGUAAUGUCUGGGAAACUGCCCGAUGGAGGGGGAUAACUACUGGAAACUGUAGCUAAUACCGCAUACCAUCGGAUGUGCCCAAGUGGGAUUAGCUAGUGGGUGGGGUAAUGGCUCACCUAGGCGACGAUCCCUAGCUGGUCUGAGAGGAUGACCAGCAACACGGGAACUGAGACACGGUCCAGACUCCUACGGGAGGCAGCAGUGGGGAAUAUUGCACAAUGGGGGCAAGCCUGACGCAGCCAUGCCGCGUGUAUGAAGAAGGCCUUCGGGUUGUAAAGUACUUUCAGCGAGGAGGCGUUAACCGCAGAAGAAGCACCGGCUAACUCCGUGCCAGCAGCCGCGGUAAUAC